rnacentral:rRNA from 1 species
GCAACUCGACUGCAUGAAGCUGGAAUCGCUAGUAAUCGCGAAUCAGCAUGUCGCGGUGAAUACGUUCCCGGGUCUUGUACACACCGCCCGUCACACCAUGGGAGUCGGAAAUGCCCGAAGUCAGUGACCCAACCGUAAGGAGGGAGCUGCCGAAGGUGGAGCCGGUAACUGGGUGAAGUCGUAACAAGGUAUC